rnacentral:rRNA from 1 species
ACUGAACGCUGGCGGCAGGCCUAACACAUGCAAGUCGAACGGUAGCACAGAGAGCUUGCUCUCGGGUGACGAGUGGCGGACGGGUGAGUAACGUCUGGGAAACUGCCCGAUGGAGGGGGAUAACUACUGGAAACGGUAGCUAAUACCGCAUAACGUCGCAAGACCAAAGUGGGGGACCUUCGGGCCUCACACCAUCGGAUGUGCCCAGGUGGGAUUAGCUAGUAGGUGGGGUAAUGGCUCACCUAGGCGACGAUCCCUAGCUGGUCUGAGAGGAUGACCAGCCACACUGGAACUGAGAAACGGUCCAGACUCCUACGGGAGGCAGCAGUGGGGAAUAUUGCACAAUGGGCGCAAGCCUGAUGCAGCCAUGCCGCGUGUAUGAAGAAGGCCUUCGGGUUGUAAAGUACUUUCAGCGGGGAGGAAGGCGGUGAAGUUAAUAGCUUCACCGAUUGACGUUACCCGCAGAAGAAGCACCGGCUAACUCCGUGCCAGCCGCCGCAGUAA